rnacentral:snoRNA from 1 species
AUCGACGUACUUCAUAGGAUCAUUUCUAUAGUAAUCGUCACUCUUUGACUCUUCACAAGAGCCACUGAAUCCAACUUGGACGAUGAGCAAAUACCUUUGUACCCAAGAGUGAGGUAUAACCCCCCAAAAACAAUUUUACAGGACAUUUGGUUUAGAAUAGCAUUUUUGACUGUGCUUUGCUGGUUUGUUUGGCUUUUUCCGCACACUCUUUUUGGAGGGUGUGUGUGGGAGUUGGACAAUU